GACCUGAUGGCACAACGGUUAGUGUGUCUGUUGAAUGUAACCCCCGUUGUAUUCUCGUAUGCAGAAGAUCCCGGUUCGAAUCCUGGUCAGGUCA